rnacentral:rRNA from 1 species
CCAUGGCGCCUGUUUAUCAAAAACAUGGUUUUUUGAGAUUAUAGAAAAUCAGAUCUGCUCACUGCUAUAAGUAAAUAGCCGCAGUAUUUUGACUGUGCAAAGGUAGCAUAAUCAUUUGCCUUUUAAUUGGAGGCUGGUAUGAAUGAUUUAACGUGAUAAAGGCUGUCUCUAAAAAAAAUUUCGAAUUUAAUUAGUUAGUAAAAAGGCUACUAUAAGCCUAAAGGACGAUAAGACCCUAUUAAGCUUGAUUUUUGAAUUUUACUGGGGCGGUAUUUUAAGAUUAGAAUCUUAAGUAAAAAGAGUAUAUUAUUAUGACCCAAUAAUAUUGAGUUUGAGAAAAAGUUACUAUAGGGAUAACAGCUUUAUUUUUUUAUUGAGUUCUUAUUUUAAAAAAAGUUUGUGACCUCGAUGUUGAAUUAAAGGUUCUACUUGGUGCAGCAGCUAAGUUAGAAAGUCUGUUCGACUUUUAAUUCUUUACGUGAUCUGAGUUCAGACCGGCCAUGGGAGCUC